GACCACCGAAGAGGCAGCAUGUAACUUGCCCAGCUGAGAAAGGUCACUCCUGCUGUUUGGGCCAAGACCAGCUCAUAAAGAGCUCUCCAGACAAAGCCAAACACCUGCACCAGCUCCUGGGACUUCACCAUUGCCACCUAGCCACCUGCCUUCUUAUCUCUCUCUAAAAGCAGCUGACUGAGGACUAUAGGAUGACAGCAAACCAGAUGCUGCUCCAGCCACCCCUCUCACUGAGCUUGAGCCCACCUCCCAGCUCUCCCCUCUCCCACAUUGCCCCCGGAAGUAGUCAGACUUGAGUCGAUGCCCCUAUAUCCGAGGACUCUGGGAUGUUUAGUCAAAGUGAGACUCCAACCACUGGCACCCCUAUAUCCAAGGACUCUGGGAUGUUUGGAUUGGAAGUAUCACCCCAACCCCUGGCAUUCAUUCUUGGGGUGCCAAUGGAGUGCAGAAGGCUCCAUCUCAAGCCCCCUUCCCCUGGAAAUUGCCUUGGUCUGGACUCCUCCUCUGGAAAUGCCCACCAAGUGUUGACCUCUCCCCAGGGAGGGUCAGGACCACUCCCACAGACUAUUUAGGCUACCGGAACAUGUGGUUUUUGGGUUUUGUGUGGUUCCCCGCACCCUCUCUCUCUCUCCCUUUCACCAGGCUCCUAGCCACCCAGGAGCACAACAUUUAUUAAAUGUUGGAAUUUUUUAUUCGGUCUAAUUUGGUCUGAUUGGAAUUGUUUGGGUUGGUGGAGAGGUUUGUCUUAAGAUUAUUUCUAACAACAGAAAUUCUGAAUUUUUCUUUUAACAACAUGCGUAGAUUUAGAGAAGGAUAGCCAUUGUCCAACUUC